GAAGGCAAGGCAAGGAAAAAGGUGGCGUCUUUCCUUCUCCCCGCACUCCGUCUGUACGCACUCUCGCCUGCCGUCAUCGCCAUGGUCUCCUCCCCGCCGCCGCCGGCCUCCGCUACCACCGACGACGACCGCUACCAAGGUACCGCCCCCUCUUUCUUCUCCGACAAGAACGAGGCCGGACGCAUCAUCGGCAAGGCGGGGUCCCACCUCCGGCGCCCGCAUCACGCUCUCCGGCUGGGGACCGCCGCGUCGUCUUCCUCUCCGGCCCCGUCAUGGACGCCGCCGACCUCGUCCUCAACAACAUCCUCUCCUCUCCUCUCUAGUGUAGAAAAAAAAGGUGGGUUGGACAAUCGAUCAGCUGCGGGCGAUAUUCCUUUGUUAUACUGUCCGAGCUGCUUCACGAUUUCCACUACAAAUCCUCCUACGCAUGGAGGAUUUGCAGUCUGUUUAUCUAGUCUGACUUGGGUGGGUGUGGCAUGCAGGGAGAAUGUUGCAUUCAGGAAGGGAAGAUGGAGAUGGAGAUGGAGAUGGAGAUGGAGAUUUGUGGUUGUAGAGCAGGAAGGGAAGGAGAUGUUGCAUUCACUUGUGUGAAGUGAUAUGUAUGUAAGUGAUGUCCCUGAUCAUGAACCUACCUAGAAUGUUUUGUAUGCAUGUAUUUUUCUAUUCUAUCAGUGCGUUGCCUUGUGCACUCGGAUGCAACAUAGUGCUACUGGCCGAACUAUACUAUCCAUGUCUUUGAUAAUUAGCGGUAUGUAGUUGUUGGUGGCUUGUAGGUGUGUAACAUAGAUGUAUAUAUGUUACUCUUGCUUAAAUGUAUAUAUAUG
rnacentral:lncRNA from 1 species